GGCCGUGUGGCCCAAUGGCAAGGCGCUUGACUACGAUUCAGUCUUCGACUAGAUGAUAUGUCGGAAUCAAGAGAUUCCAGGUUCGACCCCUGGCACGGUCA